rnacentral:rRNA from 3 species
UUAAGUUAUUAAGGGCGCACGGUGGAUGCCUUGGCACUAGAAGCCGAUGAAGGACGUUACUAACGACGAUAUGCUUUGGGGAGCUGUAAGUAAGCUUUGAUCCAGAGAUUUCCGAAUGGGGAAACCCAGCAUGAGUUAUGUCAUGUUAUCGAUAUGUGAAUACAUAGCAUAUCAGAAGGCACACCCGGAGAACUGAAACAUCUUAGUACCCGGAGGAAGAGAAAGAAAAUUCGAUUCCCUUAGUAGCGGCGAGCGAAACGGGAAGAGCCCAAACCAACAAGCUUGCUUGUUGGGGUUGUAGGACACUCUGUACGGAGUUACAAAGGACGACAUUAGACGAAUCAUCUGGAAAGAUGAAUCAAAGAAGGUAAUAAUCCUGUAGUCGAAAAUGUUGUCUCUCUUGAGUGGAUCCUGAGUACGACGGAGCACGUGAAAUUCCGUCGGAAUCUGGGAGGACCAUCUCCUAAGGCUAAAUACUCUCUAGUGACCGAUAGUGAACCAGUACCGUGAGGGAAAGGUGAAAAGCACCCCGGAAGGGGAGUGAAAUAGAACCUGAAACCGUGUGCUUACAAGUAGUCAGAGCCCGUUAAUGGGUGAUGGCGUGCCUUUUGUAGAAUGAACCGGCGAGUUACGAUUUGAUGCAAGGUUAAGCAGUAAAUGUGGAGCCGUAGCGAAAGCGAGUCUGAAUAGGGCGUUUAGUAUUUGGUCGUAGACCCGAAACCAGGUGAUCUACCCUUGGUCAGGUUGAAGUUCAGGUAACACUGAAUGGAGGACCGAACCGACUUACGUUGAAAAGUGAGCGGAUGAACUGAGGGUAGCGGAGAAAUUCCAAUCGAACCUGGAGAUAGCUGGUUCUCUCCGAAAUAGCUUUAGGGCUAGCCUCAAGUGAUGAUUAUUGGAGGUAGAGCACUGUUUGGACGAGGGGCCCCUCUCGGGUUACCGAAUUCAGACAAACUCCGAAUGCCAAUUAAUUUAACUUGGGAGUCAGAACAUGGGUGAUAAGGUCCGUGUUCGAAAGGGAAACAGCCCAGACCACCAGCUAAGGUCCCAAAAUAUAUGUUAAGUGGAAAAGGAUGUGGCGUUGCCCAGACAACUAGGAUGUUGGCUUAGAAGCAGCCAUCAUUUAAAGAGUGCGUAAUAGCUCACUAGUCGAGUGACACUGCGCCGAAAAUGUACCGGGGCUAAACAUAUUACCGAAGCUGUGGAUUGUCCUUUGGACAAUGGUAGGAGAGCGUUCUAAGGGCGUUGAAGCAUGAUCGUAAGGACAUGUGGAGCGCUUAGAAGUGAGAAUGCCGGUGUGAGUAGCGAAAGACGGGUGAGAAUCCCGUCCACCGAUUGACUAAGGUUUCCAGAGGAAGGCUCGUCCGCUCUGGGUUAGUCGGGUCCUAAGCUGAGGCCGACAGGCGUAGGCGAUGGAUAACAGGUUGAUAUUCCUGUACCACCUAUAAUCGUUUUAAUCGAUGGGGGGACGCAGUAGGAUAGGCGAAGCGUGCGAUUGGAUUGCACGUCUAAGCAGUAAGGCUGAGUAUUAGGCAAAUCCGGUACUCGUUAAGGCUGAGCUGUGAUGGGGAGAAGACAUUGAGUCUUCGAGUCGUUGAUUUCACACUGCCGAGAAAAGCCUCUAGAUAGAAAAUAGGUGCCCGUACCGCAAACCGACACAGGUAGUCAAGAUGAGAAUUCUAAGGUGAGCGAGCGAACUCUCGUUAAGGAACUCGGCAAAAUGACCCCGUAACUUCGGGAGAAGGGGUGCUCUUUAGGGUUAACGCCCAGAAGAGCCGCAGUGAAUAGGCCCAAGCGACUGUUUAUCAAAAACACAGGUCUCUGCUAAACCGUAAGGUGAUGUAUAGGGGCUGACGCCUGCCCGGUGCUGGAAGGUUAAGAGGAGUGGUUAGCUUCUGCGAAGCUACGAAUCGAAGCCCCAGUAAACGGCGGCCGUAACUAUAACGGUCCUAAGGUAGCGAAAUUCCUUGUCGGGUAAGUUCCGACCCGCACGAAAGGCGUAACGAUUUGGGCACUGUCUCAACGAGAGACUCGGUGAAAUCAUAGUACCUGUGAAGAUGCAGGUUACCCGCGACAGGACGGAAAGACCCCGUGGAGCUUUACUGUAGCCUGAUAUUGAAAUUCGGCACAGCUUGUACAGGAUAGGUAGGAGCCUUUGAAACGUGAGCGCUAGCUUACGUGGAGGCGCUGGUGGGAUACUACCCUAGCUGUGUUGGCUUUCUAACCCGCACCACUUAUCGUGGUGGGAGACAGUGUCAAGCGGGCAGUUUGACUGGGGCGGUCGCCUCCUAAAAGGUAACGGAGGCGCUCAAAGGUUCCCUCAGAAUGGUUGGAAAUCAUUCAUAGAGUGCAAAGGCAUAAGGGAGCUUGACUGCGAGACCUACAAGUCGAGCAGGGUCGAAAGACGGACUUAGUGAUCCGGUGGUUCCGCAUGGAAGGGCCAUCGCUCAACGGAUAAAAGCUACCCCGGGGAUAACAGGCUUAUCUCCCCCAAGAGUUCACAUCGACGGGGAGGUUUGGCACCUCGAUGUCGGCUCAUCGCAUCCUGGGGCUGUAGUCGGUCCCAAGGGUUGGGCUGUUCGCCCAUUAAAGCGGUACGCGAGCUGGGUUCAGAACGUCGUGAGACAGUUCGGUCCCUAUCCGUCGUGGGCGUAGGAAAUUUGAGAGGAGCUGUCCUUAGUACGAGAGGACCGGGAUGGACAUACCUCUGGUGUACCAGUUGUCGUGCCAACGGCAUAGCUGGGUAGCUAUGUGUGGACGGGAUAAGUGCUGAAAGCAUCUAAGCAUGAAGCCCCCCUCAAGAUGAGAUUUCCCAACUUCGGUUAUAAGAUCCCUCAAAGAUGAUGAGGUUAAUAGGUUCGAGGUGGAAGCAUGGUGACAUGUGGAGCUGACGAAUACUAAUCGAUCGAAGACUUAAUCAA